ACAGCCAUACCAUGUUGAAAACACCAGUUCUCAUCUAAUCACGGAAGUUAAGCAAUAUCAAGUCUAGUCAGUACUUGGGAGGGUGACCUGAAGUUGCCAGAUACA